rnacentral:rRNA from 1 species
ACCGAACACAGAAGUUAAGCCUUUCAGCGCCGAUGGUACUUGGCUGGAGACGGCCCGGGAGAGUAGGUCGUUGCCGGAU